rnacentral:rRNA from 1 species
UACGAAGGGGGCUAGCGUUGCUCGGAAUCACUGGGCGGAAAGGGUGCGUAGGCGGGUCUUUAAGUCAGGGGUGAAAUCCUGGAGCUCAACUCCAGAACUGCCUUUGAUACUGAGGAUCUUGAGUAUGGGAGAGGUGAGUGGAACUGCGAGUGUAGAGGUGAAAUUCGUAGAUAUUCGCAAGAACACCAGUGGCGAAGGCGGCUCACUGGCCCAUUACUGACGCUGAGGUGCGAAAGCGUGGGGAGCAAACAGG